rnacentral:rRNA from 1 species
GGGGAAUUUUCCGCAAUGGGCGAAAGCCUGACGGAGCAAGACCGCGUGGGGGAAGAAGGCUCUUGGGUUGUAAACCCCUUUUCUCUGGGAAGAAAGUUGUGAAAGCAACCUGACGGUACCAGAGGAAUCAGCAUCGGCUAACUCCGUGCCAGCAGCCGCGGUAAGACGGAGGAUGCAAGCGUUAUCCGGAAUGAUUGGGCGUAAAGCGUCCGCAGGUGGCAGUUCAAGUCUGCUGUCAAAGACCGGGGCUUAACCUCGGAAAGGCAGUGGAAACUGAACAGCUAGAGUAUGGUAGGGGCAAAGGGAAUUCCUGGUGUAGCGGUGAAAUGCGUAGAGAUCAGGAAGAACAUCGGUGGCGAAGGCGCUUUGCUGGACCAUAACUGACACUCAGGGACGAAAGCUAGGGGAGCGAAUGGGAUUAGAUACCCCAGUAGUCCUAGCCGUAAACGAUGGAUACUAGGUGUUGUCUGUAUCGACCCGGACAGUGCCGUAGCUAACGC